GGAUGACCUGCAUUGUGAGGCACCGGAACUGGGGACAGGCGCGUGGCUGCGGCUGAUCAGGUGAGAGGUCCGGCAGACCAUUGCUGGCUGCUACCGUCGUGACAACCUGCUACCGUAAUCACCCCGCCGGUAUAAUAGUGUCACACACGACUUCUCGCACCCCUCACCUUCACAAGUCAUGUCGAAUAAAAACAAAAUACUUUCGGAUCUUGGCAAUCUAAAGCCAAAAGAAGAUGAAAAAGUGUCUCACACCGGAUUCCAAAAGUGAAAUCUGUCCGCAGAUGCUGUCAGGCGUGCGGAGUUUCUCUCUGCUGACUUGUUCUACUAAACAAUAUCUGCCUCAAUCUGCUCCACAAGCUGUCUUGGUUACUGCAAUAACGAAGUGUAGAGCUGGAUGAACACAGCAGGCCAAGCAGCAUCAGAGGAGCAGGGAAGCUGACGUUUCGGGUCUGGACCCUUCUUCAGAAGAGAUUUUUUUAAAAAUCACUGUCAAAGUACCAAACCUUCGUCUUGGAUGAUAGAUACCUCCAUGGCCUUAAAUACACGUUUGGAUGAAGAUGAGAUGUGAAAAUUGGAUGAAUAUAAAGAAAUGUGGCUUAACCACCUUGAGUUGUCAACUUGAAAUCUGUCUACCUCAGCAAGAUCAUCUUGAAUAGGAAAAACAACGAAUUUUUUUUUAAAAACACAAACUGCUUACUUGGGCUCUUUACUCACGAUAGGCAAAUUUCAGUAAACUGGACAUUUAUAUUUAUUCCUCUCACUUUCCUUCUUCAUUCUGGCAUCCCUUGGUCUCAUGUGCCAUCUGCUGUCACCCCAAACCAGAUAUCAAAAUCUACUUCAUCACCUUUUAAAGUGACAACCAUAAGAUUGCAUGUUCAAGUCCUACUGUAGAGCUUGAGGACAACUAUCUAGACUGACACUCCAGUGCAACUCUGAAUGAAUGUUGCACCAUUAACAGCAUGGUGACUUAGUGGUUAGCACUGCUGCCUCACAGCAUCAAGGAUUUCGGUUUGAUUCCACCCUCAGGUGACUACGUGGAAUUUGCACAUUCUCCAUGUGUCAAUGUGGGUUUCCUCCCACAGUCCAAAGAUACACGGAUUAGGUGGAUUGGCCACGGAGAAGACAGCUUAUAGCAAUGCAGAGAGAGCUCUUAUGGUUGGAAGUAUGCUGGACAUUGUACUCCUUGUUCAUUUGAGGAGAAAAUCCUGGGCCACACAAGAGAAGAUGUUAUAGACAAAACCAGACUGUCUCAUCAUACUUUCAGAAGGACGGGAGGCCACCAGUUGAAUGUAGGAGUCCUCCUCAACAGCAACUCCAGGAGGUGGGUGUGGAGAAGAAUAAAGUGGCAAAAUUAAUUUUCCUCUAACACGGGGAUGUGGGCUGCUGGCAGCAUCUCUCAAGGUCCCUGUGCUUGGUUGAAGAGGUUUCCCUCCAGCUGAAUUUUGAUCAAAUUUAAAUGCUUCCUCUUGUGAACAGUGCAUUACCUUUGCAGCUUUCCAAUCUGGUGGGAUCUGCAGUCUUAUCCCUUUCUCCCUUGAUCAAAUUAUUGACAAUAUUCAAUGUUCAAUUAUUCUAACUCCUGCCCCCAUUUGCACAUGUGCAUUUGACCCACGAUGUAGCCACUAAUGGUCUUAAUGCCUUUCCAUUCAUAUGUGCAGGAAAUGCUCUAAUGUAGUAGCAUAAAUGAAAUGUGGCUUAGUUAUAAUGGGUGUCAGUAUUCUGACAGAUCGGUCUGAAGAUGGAGACUGCUGCAAAUCCCCAUGAUUGCUGUCAUGUAUUCUAUGUACACCCAGAAUAUCAACUGUGAGAAGAAAGAAUUGGUUUGUUCUAUGCAACAAAGUUAAGGAAGUUCAAGAAGAUAUAGAACUUCAUAUUAAUUACUUGCAGUGGUCUAAUGAAUCAGUGCCAGACUAAAUCCUUCAGAAAGCAAGGAAAGUUUUUAUUCUAAAUUAAUUUAAAUUUGAAUUAUUAAUCCCAAAUUAACUCAUUCACCUGUGUCUCGAAAAUACUAUAAACUUAAAUGUGGAAUAGCAUUAUAAAAAGGCUAAUUAAUACUUUCUGUGUGGUAGAAUUAGCAUUGAAUAACAAAUUUAGCAUUUGAGUACUACUAUAAUGCUCAUUUUAAUCUAUGUAACUACAACAAAUAUAAAAUUCAAAUUUUCUUACAAUAAUUAGUGGAGUUUAUAUUUGGUCGUGUGCCACUUUUGAUUGCAUAGCCAGGUCCAUUUCCAUACAAGAUGGUUGUAUAUGGUUUUCCAUCCAAAGCCAAUUCUGGUGCCAGUCCUAUAUUAAAUAAUUGAAAAUAUAAUUUAUUACUCACAGCUGCCUAAACAAUGCAUAGUCAGUAGUUAAUGUCAAAGGAACACUGUCAACAAAAUGUAAUUCAAUGUAUGUCCUGUUUAGUUCAUUGGUUAUACUUUAGUUUGGAUUUUUCAACAGCCCAAAAAGGAAGCAAAGCAUGAACUUGACUGAGGACAAGCAAAAACCUAAAUCCUCCACAAUGGCCUUCUGCUAAAGUUUUGUAAUCUUAACUUCAAGUUAUAGUGUAUGGUCAACUCAUAAAAAUGUACUGCUUAAAUAAUACGUUAAUAAAAUAUAUUUUUAUGUUAAUAAUAUUCUAACUGUAACUUUUUAAACCAAUUUAAAAUUCUUCCUUAAAUUUAAUUGAGCAUUACAAGACCAAUUUAUACAAUUCAGUUUUCUCCUCAAAGGCGCAUACUGGAUGAGUUGAUUUCCCUAAGUGAUUAUUAACUAAUAUAAUUGUAACUUAAAUAUAAUGUCUAGAUGUAUACUAUAAAUAAAUUAGUGCGAAAACAGUAUCGCAAGAUAGGUUACAUAUUGUAGUUAUUAAGGAUUAAUCAAGAGGUGAGAAAUCAAGAAUACUUACCAAUUUGGAGGAAUCAUAACCAUCCAAAUUCAAAAUCUGGUCAAAAUUCAAUCAAUGUACAAUUUUAAAGAACAAAAUCAAAACAGCUGUAGAUCAGCGGAUAAUUAUCAAAAUGAUAGGUGAGAAAUUUCCUCUGCAUGGUAUUUAGUAAAUUUGUAAGACCAUUUAUAUAGAAUGUCUUUACAAUUGUUGUACAUAGCACACAUAGGAUAAUGGUCCUCAGAAUGGAAUUGCUAGACCUCAGCUGGAGUAGUUUGUACAGUUGUGAACAUUACAUUAUAAGAAAGCUGAGAAUGCAUUAGACAGAGUGCAGGAUUGAUUUACAAGAAUGGUUCCAGGAAUGUGAAACAUCAGUUAUGAGGAUAGACUGAAGAAGUUGGGACUGCUCUGUUUGAAGAGAAGCAGGCAGAGAGGAGAUUUGAUGGAGAUUUCAAAAUCAUGGGUGGAAUGAAUAAAAUAGAUAGGGAGAAACUGUUCUGGCUUGUAAAGGGAACAGGAACAAAAGGGUGUAGAUUGAAAGUGAUUUGCAAAAGAAGCAAGCGUGAAGUGAGGAAAAGCUUUUUAACUCAGUGAGCAGCUAGGGUAUGGAAUGCACUGCCUUGAAAUAUGUAGGCAGGUUCAAUGGAGGCAUUGAAUGAUGGGAUGAUUAUUUGGAUAGAAAUAGUGAGCAGGAUUAGGUAGUAGCUGGUAGAAAUGGUGCAGGAUGCCAUAUGUCCCCAUCUGCAAUUUAACAAUUCUGUUACUUUGUGAAUUGGUGAAUGAAACUAAUUAGCUAUCAAAGGCUAAAUUUUCACAGUCAUUUGUUAAUUUAUUUUAAAUGAACUCAGAUGCCAACAUUCUAUGCUAGCAUGUUAG